UGUAUAUCUCCCUCUCUCCAUAAGCUCAUUGAAAAAGAAAGAUCAAAGAAUCUUUUGUGGUUAAAUCUCAUAGCAAUGAGAGACCAAGUUUGCUUGAAGACGAAGGUUGCCAUCGAAUAAGAAAGGUCAAACAAUCUUCAAAGUGAAGGAGCUAGAGAUGUCACUUUUCAAUGGUAGAAGGCUUUCACCAUAGCAUUCCUUUGCGCCGAUGCAAUGAAGAAGUAAAGUUGACAACUUCUUGGACUAAUGAACACCUGGAAGGAGGUUCUA
rnacentral:misc_RNA from 1 species